GUAGUCUCGCACAGAUGCAUAUCAAUAAGCGGAGGAAAAGAAACUAACAAGGAUUCCCUUAGUAACGGCGAGUGAAGCGGGAAGAGCUCAAAUUUGAAAUCUUCAAGGUUUUACCUUGACGAAUUGUAGUUUAAAGAAGUGUUUUCUGCUGAAGUUUUGGUAAAAGUUCUUUGGAAUAGGACAUCAUAGAGGGUGAGAAUCCCGUAUUUGACCAUUAUUUUCAGCUUUGUGAUACACUUUCAAAGAGUCGGAUUGUUUGGGAAUGCAGUCCAAAAUGGGUGGUAAAUUUCAUCUAAAGCUAAAUAUUGGCGAGAGACCGAUAGCGAACAAGUACCGUGAGGGAAAGAUGAAAAGAACUUUGAAAAGAGAGUUAAACAGUACGUGAAAUUGUCAAAAGGGAAGCGUUUAACACCAGUGUUGUUUUCUGAAAAUCAACCUCUGUUAGCUUUAUGCAUGUUUGUUUAGACCUAAUCAGCUAUCUUGCAUGUUCUAUUGUUUGCAGUGGUGCACUUUUCAGUUUACAGGUCAACAUCAGUUUUUUUUACCGUAAAAAAGUUAAAGAAAGGUAGCUCAUGGCUCCGGUCGUGAGUGUUAUAGUCUUUUUCCUAUGCGGUAGGAGAGACUGAGGUCUGCAGUGUAGGCUAUUUGGCUAGAUACUCAGGUGCUAUGUGAUACCAUUUCAUAAACAACUUGUUGAUUAUGUUUUGUCUACUGCAUACUCGCUUGUACUAUCAUACCUACGCUUAGGAUGUUGAGUCGUAGAGCACGCAG
rnacentral:rRNA from 1 species